CAGCAGCCACGGGAAUACGAAGGGGGGUAGCGUUGCUCGGAAUUACUGGGCGUAAAGGGAGCGUAGGCGGACUUUUAAGUCAGGGGUGAAAUCCCAGAGCUCAACUCUGGAACUGCCUUUGAUACUGGGUGUCUUAAGUGUGAUAGAGGUAUGUGGAACUCCGAGUGUAGAGGUGAAAUUCGUAGAUAUUCGGAAGAACACCAGUGGCGAAGGCGACAUACUGGAUCAUUACUGACGCUGAGGCUCGAAAGCGUGGGGAGCAAACAGGAUUAGAUACCCCUGUAGUCCCUGUCUCUUAUAC
rnacentral:rRNA from 1 species